rnacentral:rRNA from 1 species
AUGGAAGACAACUGGUUAAUCUGGAAUGUAAGGGGGCUCAACAACCCGGCACGUAGGAAGGUGGUCAAGGAUGUAGUGUAUCAAAACAGUGUAUCUUUAGUGUGUUUGCAAGAGACGAAGUUGUCUGUCAUGGAUGCGGCAACUGUGCAACAGUGUUGCGGGGCUGAAUUUUUGGAGUUUGCCUUCCGGCCAGCCGAUGGAACGCGGGGUGGGGUGUUGCUGGCCUGGAAG